CGCAUUUUUCCAACAAUGUCACAGCUGCUAAUUACACACUAGUACUGAAGCUUCAAAAAUUUGCAACAAUAAAUAAUAAUGUAAAAGGAUUCCAUUCCAAUCUCAAGUGUGAAGGAAUUUGCUAACAAAUAAUAGGCAAUCAAGGGGUUACACAAACUAAGUCCUAGUCAUUUACUCCGUGUUUCGAAUGUCUAACAAAAUAUCGUCUAAUCAAACUUACCAAACAAGCUCCAAGAGUUCUGAAAGCGGUUUCACCAAUUCAGCCCUUACAAUGAUUUAUGAAUAAUGAAUGCUAGGAUUUUCACAUCUAUCUUGAUUUUCACUCAGACUUGCGCUUAGAAUAUCUCCUUGCAUUCGACUUUCCAAUGCCACUUGUACACCGACCUACAAACUUGAGAAN
rnacentral:lncRNA from 1 species